UACGGAGGAUCCGAGCGUUAUCCGGAUUUAUUGGGUUUAAAGGGAGCGUAGGUGGAUUGUUAAGUCAGUUGUGAAAGUUUGCGGCUCAACCGUAAAAUUGCAGUUGAAACUGGCAGUCUGAGUACAGUAGAGGUGGGCGGAAUUCGUGGUGUAGCGGUGAAAUGCUUAGAUAUCACGAAGAACUCCGAUUGCGAAGGCAGCUCACUGGACUGCAACUGACACUGAGGCUCGAAAGUGUGGGUAUCAAACAGG
rnacentral:rRNA from 1 species